GCUUCCUUAGCUCAGUCGGUAGGGCGCGAAACCCACAUCUCUAUAUCCGCGUGGACAAUCUCGAGGUCGCAAGUUCAAGUCUUGCAGGGAGCA